GAUGAACGCUGGCGGCGUGCCUAAUACAUGCAAGUCGAGCGAACAGACGAGGAGCUUGCUCCUCUGACGUUAGCGGCGGACGGGUGAGUAACACGUGGAUAACCUACCUAUAAGACUGGGAUAACUUCGGGAAACCGGAGCUAAUACCGGAUAAUAUAUUGAACCGCAUGGUUCAAUAGUGACAGACGGUUUUGCUGUCACUUAUAGAUGGAUCCGCGCCGCAUUAGCUAGUUGGUAAGGUAACGGCUUACCAAGGCGACGAUGCGUAGCCGACCUGAGAGGGUGAUCGGCCACACUGGAACUGAGACACGGUCCAGACUCCGACGGGAGGCAGCAGUAGGGAAUCUUCCGCAAUGGGCGAAAGCCUGACGGAGCAACGCCGCGUGAGUGAUGAAGGUCUUCGGAUCGUAAAACUCUGUGAUUAGGGAAGAACAAAUGUGUAAGUAACUAUGCACGUCUUGACGGUACCUAAUCAGAAAGCCACGGCUAACUACGUG
rnacentral:rRNA from 1 species